rnacentral:rRNA from 1 species
UACGUAGGGUGCAAGCGUUAAUCGGAAUUACUGGGCGUAAAGCGUGCGCAGGCGGUGUAUCAAGUCAGAUGUGAAAGAGGCCGGCUUAACCGGCAAGGGUCAUUUGAAAACUGAUAGACUAGAGUGCAGCAGAGGAUAGCGGAAUUCCCGGUGUAGUGGUGAAAUGCGUAGAUAUCGGGAGGAACACCAGUGGCGAAGGCGGCUAUCUGGGCUGCACCGACGCUGAAACGCGAAGCUAGGGAGCGAACGGGAUCAGAACCGGGUAGUACCAGACACGU